CACGGAUCAAAUGGUGCUAUGAGCAGAAACCACGCGAGGGCUGCAACCACCAUGCUUUCUUGAUUGCAAACCAGCGCCAUAAAGAUAAACCGUGGUGUGUCAACCCAAAUUCUAAGUGGCUCAAGGACAAAAUACAGAAGGGAGAAUUAAACUGCCCUCAAGAUCUCUCAUUAUUAAAUGAAGUUCCCAACAAGCCAACAACAGCAUGAAGUAAAACAGCAACGUUUUAUCCUGAAAUACUAU